CACUUUAAGUGAAUCCAAAAUAUUAAAUGAAUAAAAAUUAUGCGAACACACUGACAAUACAACGAUAAUACAAAAAUCGUUCUGCGCUAAGUCGCCGAUCUCGUCCAGUUCCGAUUGGUGACGUAACUCCACCACCUGCCACGCUCGACUGAGUCAAUCCGCCGAAAUCUAGACAGGCCUUUUUUUGCAGUCAAUUCUGUAAGGGCAAAGAUUUAUUCAGUUCACGGGUUCAUCUAAGUAGCUGUCGGCUGGAGCCCCAGGUUCUUCGAUUGCGUAACCUUCGCCUAAAAAAAUGCAUUCCUUCAAAAACCUUGGCCAUGCCCUAACUAGCGGAACCUGGCCACAAAUUUCCUCAUCUCGCCUUGGCUGGCCUGAAACAGGAUUCCUAAUUGAUUUUUUUCUGCACGAGCUGCUACUGCUCGCGUCUAAACCAAAUCUGAACUGAUCUAGAGCUGCUAUACUAUCGAUGGCACUAUCGAUAUAUCCAAUUUGGAUAUAUGGACACUGACAUUACCAAUGGUCACUGACAUUGCAACAAAACAUGAGGUUUGGCUGCGAAAUUUGGCUUAACUUAAAUUGAAAGCUGGUGGUGGCACUAAGCAUGUACAAGUUUGCGAAUCUCACGAGAAAAGCUAAUUAUAAUAAUUCUUGGUUAUAUAUACGACGUAAUUGUUAUUUAUCUGUAUGUAUGUAUGCAGACGUAGAUAUCAACAAACCAGCCGAAAACAGUUCUGACGAAGAGAACAAUGGACCGAAAAAAUCAGGAGUUCAGAAAUCAAAAGUGUGGAAGUUUUUUACUAGGUCAAAUGAUGGUAAAGUACGUAUUUUGUCAUAAGGUGAACAAGACAAGAGGAAACACAUCGAAUCUUUUCGACCACAUGAAGCGCAUACAUCCAACAUUAGGCGCUGAUGAUUUGCCGUCGACUUCAAAAAAAUAGAUUCUUUUGUAACUACAUCCUAUGAUUCAAAUUCCCACAGAAAAGCAGAACUUGAUAGGGCUGUCAUGAAAUACGUAGUCACAGAAGUGCGCCCGUUCUCAGUUGUGGCAGACACUGGCUUUCGCGAGAUGCUGAAUGUUUUUGUUCCCCGGUAUAAGUUACCCUCUCGAAAGACCUUGCAAAAUGUUUUGAUGGCAGAUCAAUUCGAGGAUAAGCAAAGGAAACUAAUGGAUAUAGUAAAAGGAAUAGAAUUUCGCGCUAUUACCACGGAUCUAUGGAUAUCACAAGCUAAUAAAGGAUAGUUUGCAAGCCGUUUUUGAUAAGUGGGACAUAUCAUCCAAAAUUGUGGCAAUAGUUACAGACAAUGCGAGCUCCAUGAUUGAGGCGUGUGAAUUGCUUCAAAAAAGAUAUUUACAUGUUUUGCUCAUACAUUAAAUUUAGUGGUGCAAGGAUGUAUCAAGCUAUAUAUCAUAUAAAAAGCUGAAAGACUACCAGGAUGGGAAAACCAAAUAUAAUCUGAAGCAGGAAGUUCCUACUCGAUGGAACAGUGCUUACCUUAUAAAAGAAAGGAUUUUAUAAACCCAUGAGGAAAUCGGCAAAGUUUUGUUGAGUACAUCAAGAGCUCCAUAACCGUUCACUGUAGACGAAUUGGACAUCCUAACGGACCUGGUACAUUUACUUGCUUCAUUGGAUACUGCAACAAAUCAAGUAUCUUCCAAUUCUACAGUGACGGUUUCAUUAUGUAUUCCCAUAACAUGGUCUUUACAUACUUUGGACACUUUAAAACCGAGCCUUAAGUCUAGUGAGGGAUUAGCAGCCUGUACAUUUUUGAUGGACAGCAUUGUCACCAGGAUGAAUAAGUAUAAAGAGCGUUCUUUGCCGCGAAUCGGAACAUUGCUAGACAUAAGAUUAAAAAACAAGGCUUCCAUUCUCCUUUUAACGUUGUACAGACCGAAAAGUUUUUGGGAAAUGAGGUCACCGUCAUUAACAACUCCUGUGAUUCCGUACCUUCUCAAAACCGCCAAACCCUAUUCACAUUUCUUCAAAAAAAUAUUAGUGAAUUACCAACAUCGAAAAGAACAGAUGCGAUUAUCGAUCUCAAAAAGUAUAUUAAUCUAAAGCACUGUGAAGAAAAUGUAGAUCCCCUAGAAUUCUGAAAGCAUAAUGAAUCUAAUUUUAAAAAAAUUAGUGCCGAAAUUUUUAUGUGUUCCCGCAACCUCGACUGCGUUGGAAUGUAUGUUCGGCAAGGCUAAACUCGUUAUAAAUAACCGCAGAGCUUCGCUUAAGGCGAAUAAUGUGAACAUUUUGUUAUUUUUGCAAAAAAAAUUCCUGAAUAGAAUAUUUUUUUUUUUUGAAUUUUGUAUUAAAAAUGACAUGAAUUUUUCAUGAUCUUUGUUGAA